rnacentral:rRNA from 1 species
CCUACGGGUGGCAGCAGUGAGGAAUAUUGGUCAAUGGGCGGGAGCCUGAACCAGCCAAGUCGCGUGAGGGAUGACGGUCCUACGGAUUGUAAACCUCUUUUGCCGGGGAGCAAGCGUGCGUUCGUGAACGCGCGUCGAGAGUACCCGGAGAAAAAGCAUCGGCUAACUCCGUGCCAGCAGCCGCGGUAAUACGGAGGAUGCGAGCGUUAUCCGGAUUUAUUGGGUUUAAAGGGUGCGUAGGCGGACGCUUAAGUCAGCGGUAAAAUUGCGGGGCUCAACCUCGUCGAGCCGUUGAAACUGGGUGCCUUGAGUGGGCGAGAAGUACGCGGAAUGCGUGGUGUAGCGGUGAAAUGCAUAGAUAUCACGCAGAACUCCGAUUGCGAAGGCAGCGUACCGGCGCCCAACUGACGCUGAAGCACGAAGGCGUGGGUAUCGAACAGGAUUAGAUACCCGGGUAGUC